CUGGGGGAUCCUGCGCCAGCCAAGCAACUGCCAUUGAGAUGAAAUGUACAUGCUAAUUGGUGGCUUUCAUCAGAUAUCAUCUCAAAGUUUUAUUUGGGGAUCUGAGAAGCCCAGCUUGUCAAAACUGGUGUCUGGCCCGUGGGGAACGGAUGGCUCAUCUCCAGUAUGUGCUCCCAGCUGAAAGCAGUCAACAAGCUCUGCUGUAACUGAGCCAAUUUUUCAAAGCGUUCCGCUGAUGUGAUUGGUAUCGUCCUCGGGCUGGAUGGGUCCACUCUCAGUGACGGGGGAGGGGAAGGAUGUAAAAAUGAGAGAUACCUGUGACAUCCCCUGCCACUCCAGGGGAAGAUGUAUCUGCAAAGUGUUCCUCAAGGUCAGUGUAGCCACUCAAAAAAGCCACAUAGAUCUCUCACAAACUGUGAUAAAUCGUACCUGCACAAUUCGAGUCUACGUGUAUUUCAGAUGCUUUCUGACGAUAAACGCAGUCACCUAGUCGGGGCUGCGGUGGGUGAUUAAAGCACUUUGUCUUGAGUCAUA